UGGGUUGCCAUGCCCUCCUCCAGGGGAUCUUCCUGACCCAGAGAUCAAAUCCACAUCUCUUACAUCUGUUGCAAUGGCAGGCUGCACUGGCUAUCAGCCUGUUGACUCUGGAUGCAUUCCCUGCCUGUGUUCUCUCUGACUGUCUUGAGCUAUGACUCCCAGGCGCUCUUGACCACCAACUCUAUGUUAGGUUUGCCAGUGAGAGGCACUGGUGGAGAUUGGAGUUGGGAGGAAAGGAGAAGUUAAGAGCCCUGAUGAUACUAGGUGUUCCUGAGUGGUCCCAGCUCCUGGGCUCAGAUCAGAUCAGAUCAGUCGCUUAGUCGUGUCCGACUCUUUGUGACCCCAUGAAUUGCAGCACGCCUGGCCUCCCUGUCCAUCACCAACUCCAGGAGUUCACUCAGACUCACGUCCAUCGAGUCAGCGAUGCCAUCCAGGCAUCUCAUCCUCUGUCAUCCCCUUCUCCCCCUGCCCCCAAUCCCUCCCAGCAUC
ensembl:lncRNA